CAGUAGCCGCGGUAAUACGUAGGGUGCGAGCGUUAAUCGGAAUUACUGGGCGUAAAGCGUGCGCAGGCGGUUAUAUAAGACAGAUGUGAAAUCCCCGGGCUCAACCUGGGACCUGCAUUUGUGACUGUAUAGCUAGAGUACGGUAGAGGGGGAUGGAAUUCCGCGUGUAGCAGUGAAAUGCGUAGAUAUGCGGAGGAACACCGAUGGCGAAGGCAAUCCCCUGGACCUGUACUGACGCUCACGCACGAAAGCGUGGGGAGCAAACAGGAUUAGAUACCCGUGUAGUCCCUGUCUCUUAUAC
rnacentral:rRNA from 1 species